rnacentral:rRNA from 1 species
UACGAAGGGUGCAAACGUUGCUCGGAAUUAUUGGGCGUAAAGCGCACGUAGGCGGCUUUUUAAGUCGGAGGUGAAAUCCUGGAGCUCAACUCCAGAACUGCCUUCGAUACUGAAGAGCUCGAGUCCGGGAGAGGUGAGUGGAAUUCCCAGUGUAGAGGUGAAAUUCGUAGAUAUUGGGAAGAACACCGGUGGCGAAGGCGGCUCACUGGCUCGUAACUGACGCUCAUGCACGACAGCGUGGGGAUCAAACAGG